UUCAGAUUGCCAGAUGGUUCCUUAAUGGAAAUCACCAAAGUUUAUCCGCUGGAUGUGUUUUUUGACAAUCCUGAGGAUGUUCCUGAAGAUAUUUGGACGGACGAGCACUACGCAGGUUAUGCAAAAUGGACCGUCCAGGUAAACAGGGACUUUUCCCAAUCAACCCAUCAAACAGACAUGUUGAGGCUUAUCUUCGAGCGUCUAGGCAUAUGCUGAUUUAUCUAAUUUUCCAGGGUUAUGAACCUUCAAUUUGAAAUCAAUAUGAGGCUUAUUUUGCUUUUUGUACUCUCAUGAACAUCUUUCCUGUUCACCUAUCAACAAAAGGAAACGGCUUUCCUAUUAACUUCAGAUCCAUUGAGUUGCAUUCCGGCAUUAGCCAUUCCAACUCAUUUGGUACGUUCUUUCAGGAAGUUGCCGAAUCUGUGAAGCAGGAUUUUGGAAGUAUUGACAUCCUUGUGGACUCACUUGCCAGUGG